UCCUCCGUGGCGCAAUUGGCUAGCGCGUUCGACUGUUAUGUUUCUUCUAUCCUUGAAGGCAGGGCAAUCGAGAGGUUGACAGUUCAAGCCUGUCCGGGGGAG